AUUAUUUUAAGUUGGUAAUGCAAGAAGUUGCUUUGUAGAUGAUCAUAGGCUCUAAAACAUAGAUACUGAUUUUACAGUAUCUUCUAUCUAUUAACAUAAGGACAUUGCUUAAUUGCCAACCAGAAGCAUUCAUGAAUUGGUUAUAAACUUAAGACAUCUUCCAUUUGGUAAAAUGAGAACAUCAGUUUACCACGAAUGAGAACCAUUCACAAACUGAAUUGUUAUGAUACUUGUCCACUGUAUUGGCCUCAAACACGUUGAUUAUUUGGGUUUGUCUUUUUCUGCCUGAAACAUGUUUCUAACUCAUAGUUGUAGCCUUCUAAGUUGUACCUAAAUUCUGGAUUGUAUUGAGACCUAAGCAUAUUGAAGUUGUAAAGUACAUCCUAUCAAGUUUGUAUUGUAAGAGGUCCAGGUACAAAUGAACUGGUACUUGUCUGGGUCUUUACUAUAGUUAGAAGCUAAUAUGAUUUCUAUUUUGAUUGUGAGAAGUUCAUGUAUCAGAGCAUUUCCCCCUCUUGUUCCUUCACCAACUGAGCAACUAAUAUUGUGCUUAGAAGUGAUAAAAAACUUAACAACCAGCAUUCAACACAGGG
rnacentral:misc_RNA from 1 species